AGAACGAACGCUGGCGGCAUGCCUAACACAUGCAAGUCGAACGCGUGGCUUCGGCCACGAGUGGCGCACGGGUGAGUAACGCGUGGGAACCUGCCCUGGAGUGGGGGAUAACCGAGGGAAACCUCGGCUAAUACCGCAUACGUCCUUGGGGAAACCCUUGGAGAAAGAUUUAUCGCUCGAGGAGGGGCCCGCGUCGGAUUAGCUCGUUGGUGGGGUAACGGCCUACCAAGGCUAUGAUCCGUAGCUGGUCUGAGAGGAUGAUCAGCCACACUGGGACUGAGACACGGCCCAGACUCCUACGGGAGGCAGCAGUGGGGAAUAUUGGACAAUGGGCGCAAGCCUGAUCCAGCAAUGCCGCGUGAGUGAUGAAGGCCUUAGGUUGUAAAGCUCUUUCGCCCGCGACGAUGAUGACGGUAGCGGGAGAAGAAGCCCGGCUAACUUCGCGCCAGCAGCCGC
rnacentral:rRNA from 1 species